rnacentral:rRNA from 1 species
GAUGAACGCUGGCGGCGUGCUUAACACAUGCAAGUCGAACGGAAAGGCUCCUGCUUGCAGGGGUACUCGAGUGGCGAACGGGUGAGUAACACGUGGGUGAUCUGCCCUGCACUUCGGGAUAAGCCUGGGAAACUGGGUCUAAUACCGGAUAGGACGAUGGUUUGGAUGCCAUUGUGGAAAGUUUUUCGGUGUGGGAUGAGCUCGCGGCCUAUCAGCUUGUUGGUGGGGUAAUGGCCUACCAAGGCGUCGACGGGUAGCCGGCCUGAGAGGGUGUACGGCCACAUUGGGACUGAGAUGCGGCCCAGACUCCUACGGGAGGCAGCAGUGGGGAAUAUUGCACAAUGGGCGCAAGCCUGAUGCAGCGACGCCGCGGGGGGGAUGACGGCCUUCGGGUUGUAAACUCCUUUCGCUAGGGACGAAGCGUUUUGUGACGGUACCUGGAGAAGAAGCACCGGCUAACUACGUG